rnacentral:rRNA from 1 species
AGUACGGCGGAACACGAGAAAUUCCGUCGGAAUCCGCGGGGACCAUCCCGCAAGGCUAAAUACUCCCUAGUGACCGAUAGUGAACCAGUACCGUGAGGGAAAGGUGAAAAGCACCCCGGAAGGGGAGUGAAAUAGAUCCUGAAACCGUGUGCCUACAACAAGUCAAAGCUCGUUAAUGAGUGAUGGCGUGCCUUUUGUAGAAUGAACCGGCGAGUUACGAUUGCAUGCGAGGUUAAGUCGAAGAGACGGAGCCGCAGCGAAAGCGAGUCUGAAUAGGGCGAAUGAGUAUGUAGUCGUAGACCCGAAACCAUGUGAUCUACCCAUGUCCAGGUUGAAGGUGCGGUAAAACGCACUGGAGGACCGAACCCACGUACGUUGAAAAGUGCGGGGAUGAGGUGUGGGUAGCGGAGAAAUUCCAAACGAACUUGGAGAUAGCUGGUUCUCUCCGAAAUAGCUUUAGGGCUAGCCUCGGAAUUGAGAAUGAUGGAGGUAGAGCACUGUUUGGACUAGGGGCCCAUCUCGGGUUACCGAAUUCAGAUAAACUCCGAAUGCCAUUCAUUUAUAUCCGGGAGUCAGACUGCGAGUGAUAAGAUCCGUAGUCGAAAGGGAAACAGCCCAGACCACCAGCUAAGGUCCCAAAAUAUAUGUUAAGUGGAAAAGGAUGUGGGGUUGCACAGACAACUAGGAUGUUGGCUUAGAAGCAGCCACCAUUUAAAGAGUGCGUAAUAGCUCACUAGUCGAGUGACCCUGCGCCGAAAAUGUACCGGGGCUAAACAUAUUACCGAAGCUGUGGACUACACCAUUAGGUGUAGUGGUAGGAGAGCGUUCUAAGGGCGUUGAAGGUCGAUCGUGAGGACGGCUGGAGCGCUUAGAAGUGAGAAUGCCGGUAUGAGUAGCGAAAGACAGGUGAGAAUCCUGUCCACCGUAUGACUAAGGUUUCCUGGGGAAGGCUCGUCCGCCCA